rnacentral:misc_RNA from 1 species
GAGCUAUUUAAAAUGAAGAAAACUUUUAAUAUGUUAGGCUUAGCCAAAGCAGACACCAAAAUAAAUUUAAAACCCUUGAAUGUAAACUGAAUCUGAUUAACUUUUUUUUUUUUUGCUUCUGGCCAGCACAAUCAAAUUAGAUAUUUGAGGUUGUAAGAGGCUUCAAUGUUCCAACCUUUUCCAACAUAUGCUGGCUAGCACAAUCAAACUAUAUAUUUGAAGUUGUAACUUGUAAGAGGCUUCAAUGAUUACAUGCACCUUUCUUUCUUUUUUCUUUUUUUUUUUUGAGGCGGGGGGGGCACAGGCUUUAGGUAAUGGCACUAGAUGUUCUUUUCCAGAACCUCAAUUUUUGGGAGCUGUUACUCAACAAUCAUUACUAUUCCAGAAUUCCAUCCUUUGAUUCACAUCUUUUAAACACUUCCAAGCAGACAUUCAUUGCAUCUGGCAGCUUUCUUGAGUCUCUUUUUCUUUCUUUAAUAAGCCACAUUUACCCGUUUCUUUUAAUCAGAAUUUUGCUUCCAUGUUUUGCCAAACACAAUUAAUAAACAGAAUUCACCCAAAAGUCAUGGAUGAAACUAACAAUCACUAAGUCUAAAUCCAAAAAUAAUUUGACAGGGAGGACAACAGAGACAUAGGAGAGACCAAGAAUGAGAAAGAAAAAUGCAUACGUCCUAAAACAAGACCCUCAACUCUCUGCAUGGCAGCUAU